rnacentral:tRNA from 1 species
GAAUUAGCUCAGCUGGGAGAGCAUCUGCCUUACAAGCAGAGGGUCAGAGGUUCGAAUCCUCUAUGGCUCA